CAGCAGCCGCGGGAAUACGAAGGGGGCUAGCGUUGCUCGGAAUUACUGGGCGUAAAGGGCGCGUAGGCGGACAGUUCAGUCGGGGGUGAAAGCCCGGGGCUCAACCUCGGAAUUGCCUUCGAUACUGGCUGUCUUGAGUAUGAGAGAGGUGUGUGGAACUCCGAGUGUAGAGGUGAAAUUCGUAGAUAUUCGGAAGAACACCAGUGGCGAAGGCGACACACUGGCUCAUUACUGACGCUGAGGCGCGAAAGCGUGGGGAGCGAACAGGAUUAGAUACCCGAGUAGUCCCUGUCUCUUAUAA
rnacentral:rRNA from 1 species